GAUGAACGCUAGCUACAGGCUUAACACAUGCAAGUCGAGGGGAAACGACAUCGAAAGCUUGCUUUUGAUGGGCGUCGACCGGCGCACGGGUGAGUAACGCGUAUCCAACCUGCCCAUCACUUGGGGAUAACCUUGCGAAAGUAAGACUAAUACCCAAUGAUAUCUCUAGAAGACAUCUGAAAGAGAUUAAAGAUUUAUCGGUGAUGGAUGGGGAUGCGUCUGAUUAGCUUGUUGGCGGGGUAACGGCCCACCAAGGCAACGAUCAGUAGGGGUUCUGAGAGGAAGGUCCACCACAAUGGAACUGCGACACGGACCAAACUCCUACGGGAGGCAGCAGUGAGGAAUAUUGAUCGAUGAGCGAGAGCCUGAACCAGCCAAGUAGCGUGCAGGAAGACGGCCCUAUGGGUUGUAAACUGCUGUUAUAAGAGAAUAAAGUGAGAGUCGUGACUCUUUUUGUAUGUACCUAAUGAAUAAGGACCGGCUAAUUCCGUG
rnacentral:rRNA from 1 species